CGUUCCCGGGUCUUGUACACACCGCCCGUCACACCACGAAAGUGGGUAACACCCGAAGCCAGUGGCCCAACCCUUUGGGAGGGAGCUGUCGAAGGUGGGAUCCGCGAUUGGGGUG
rnacentral:rRNA from 1 species